rnacentral:lncRNA from 1 species
AUUUUGAAAGAUAAUUUACUGGCUCUUAGGUAUUUGUUAUGGAAAAUUUAAAGUGUAAUGUAUUUUAAUUAUACGUGUUCUAAGUAAAAAAAAAAAAGUAGUAGUUUGCACUCAUACAAGUAUUUGCUAAUGUUAUUUAUUAGUCUCUGACCCCGGGCUCCUGACCUGGCUGUCUCUGCAUGGCUGCCAGUCUCACUGUGGGUGGAUGCCUCCAUGGAGGUUACUGAUGGCUCAGCAGAUGGAUAAGAAAAAGCCCACUGUAGCACACUGUAGGCUAAGGCAGUGCAGGUUUGAGCCACUCUCUCCAGACUGUUGCCACGUGCUGAUUUUUACACCAGCCAGCAUGGAGAUGUCACUUCUAGGUUUGUGUCUGGCUAGAAGUGGCGAGGUGGUGUAGACAGUCUGUUUUUCUUUCAGUUCCAUAUCAGCUCAGUUUCCAUUAUGUUUGCAUCUUAUUACCCCAGCCUCAUGAUUUCCCUGAGGCAUCUAGUAGCAUCAGUGUG